rnacentral:rRNA from 1 species
GGAGGAUCCAAGCGUUAUCCGGAAUCAUUGGGUUUAAAGGGUCCGUAGGCGGUUUUGUAAGUCAGUGGUGAAAGCCCAUCGCUCAACGGUGGAACGGCCAUUGAUACUGCAAGACUUGAAUUAUUAGGAAGUAACUAGAAUAUGUAGUGUAGCGGUGAAAUGCUUAGAGAUUACAUGGAAUACCAAUUGCGAAGGCAGGUUACUACUAAUUGAUUGACGCUGAUGGACGAAAGCGUGGGGAGCGAACAGGAUUAGAUACCCUGGUAGUCCACGCCGUAAACGAUGGAUACUAGCUGUUCGGAGCAAUCUGAGUGGCUAAGCGAAAGYSAUAAGUAUCCCACCUGGGGAGUACGUUCGCAA